UGUGCGCUACUCUGAAUAGAAAAAAACAUUGACUGGUGAUUUUUUUUUUUUUUUUAUUCGAUACGCACCUCAUCACGUAGGCUUGAUAGACCGCUGGAGGGGAACAGCACUGCGUUUUCUUCAUUUUUAGCUUUCGCCCCGACAGAGGGAUGCCCUGUGUAAGGGCUGCCGCUGCUGCUUUCUGGGACUUUAAGAGAAGGAUGGGCCAGUGAGGUCAUACGAGCAUCACUGGGAGAACAACAGAGGACAAGCUGACAGACAGCAAAGCAUUUUUCCACAAAGUCAAACAAGAGGACGCAGCGGUCAUUUCCUGCAGUGUGUUUAGUGUUACUGCACGCUGCUGGCAACAAUGACUCAAACCGAAAUUAGGUUUGAAUCCAUCUUGAGUCUAACUGCAAAAAACAUGACUCUAGCGCUUCUAUACUUCUGGAAUAGUGUCCCAUCCUGUUUAAAUGUCACGUUGUGAUUGUGUCGCCUGCACCUUUCAUAAAAUAACAUGUCCAGUUGGGACUACAACUGA